AGUGAACGCUGGCGGUAGGCCUAACACAUGCAAGUCGAACGGCAGCACAGUAAGAUCUUGCUCUUACGGGUGGCGAGUGGCGGACGGGCGAGGAAUACAUCGGCAUCUACUUUUUCGUGGGGGAUAACGUAGGGAAACUUACGCUAAUACCGCAUACGACCUACGGGUGAAAGCAGGGGAUCUUCGGACCUUGCGCGAUUGAAUGAGCCGAUGUCGGAUUAGCUAGUUGGCGAGGUAAAGGCCCACCAAGGCGACGAUCCGUAGCUGGUCUGAGAGGAUGAUCAGCCACACUGGAACUGAGACACGGUCCAGACUCCUACGGGAGGCAGCAGUAGGGAAUAUUGGGCAAUGGGCGAAAGCCUGAUCCAGCCAUACCGCGUGAGUGAAGAAGGCCUUCGGAUUGUAAAGCCCUUUUGUUGGGGAAGAAAAGCAGCAGGUUAAUACCCCGCUGUUCUGACGGUACCCAAAGAAUAAGCACCGGCUAACUUCGUG
rnacentral:rRNA from 1 species